CCUACGGGAGGCAGCAGUGGGGGAUAUUGCACAAUGGGGGAAACCCUGAUGCAGCGACGCCGCGUGGGUGAAGAAGCGCCUCGGCGCGUAAAGCCCUGUCAGCAGGGAAGAAAAUGACGGUACCUGAAGAAGAAGCCCCGGCUAACUACGUGCCAGCAGCCGCGGUAAUACGUAGGGGGCAAGCGUUAUCCGGAUUUACUGGGUGUAAAGGGGGCGCAGACGGCGAUGCAAGCCAGGAGUGAAAGCCCGGGGCCCAACCCGGGGACUGCUCUUGGAACUGCGUGGCUAGAGUGCAGGAGGGGCAGGCGGAAUUCCUGGUGUAGCAGUGAAAUGCGUAGAUAUCAGGAGGAACACCGAUGGCGAAGGCGGCCUGCUGGACUGCAACUGACGUUGAGGCCCGAAAGCGUGGGGAGCAAACAGGAUUAGAUACCCUUGUAGUC
rnacentral:rRNA from 1 species